UGCAGCAACGCCGCGUGCGGGAUGACGGCCUUCGGGUUGUAAACCGCUUUUAGUAAGGAAGAAGGGAAGCUUGCUUCUUGACGGUACUUGCAGAAAAAGGACCGGCUAACUACGUGCCAGCAGCCGCGGUAAUACGUAGGGUCCGAGCGUUGUCCGGAAUUAUUGGGCGUAAAGAGCUCGUAGGCGGUUUGUCGCGUCUGCUGUGAAAUCCCGAGGCUCAACCUCGGGUCUGCAGUGGGUACGGGCAGACUGGAGUGCGGUAGGGGAGAAUGGAAUUCCUGGUGUAGCGGUGGAAUGCGCAGAUAUCAGGAGGAACACCGAUGGCGAAGGCAGUUCUCUGGGCCGUAACUGACGCUGAGGAGCGAAAGCGUGGGGAGCGAACAGGAUUAGAUACCCUGGUAGUCCACGCCGUAAACGUUGGGCGCUAGAUGUGGGGACCUUUCCACGGUUUCCGUGUCGUAGCUAACGCAUUAAGCGCCCCGCCUGGGGAGUACGGCCGCAAGGCUAAAACUCAAAGGAAUUGACGGGGGCCCGCACAAGCGGCGGAGCAUGCGGAUUAAUUCGAUGCAACGCGAAGAACCUUACCAAGGCUUGACAUAACCGAGAACGCCGCAGAAAUGUGGAACUC
rnacentral:rRNA from 1 species